AUGAACCUAGAUUUUUUUUUUAGAAAAUGUACCGUAUUAUGUUUAUCCAUCUCUUAUUAAUACUCAAGACCUUAUCUAAAGUAAAGAUGGAUGCCUUGUUACUGCAAGAGAAGUUGAAGAAUGAUUUUACAUUGAAUAUCAUCUUCCACAUUUCAAAUAAAAAUGUGCCAUUUACAUAUACAUGUAUAGAUCUAUAUUUUAUAUAUAUUUUCAAUGUUAUUUCUCAAUUUCAAGACUUUUACUUAUGUAUUUUUAUUUAUACCCAGUUACAUGUACAUGUAUCUGCAAACAUGAAUCUCUUGAACAUUUCAUCAUAUAUGCAUAUCUUAAAAACAUUAAUUACUACAAAUAAUCAAGGUACUAUGCAUUUCUGGAUAUUUUUUGUUAUAUGUAAUGCAUUAUUCAUGCAUUUAUCAAAAUGUAUAUUUGCAUGACCUUCAUUAAUAAAGAUUUACAAUAACCAU
rnacentral:misc_RNA from 1 species